CCCGCCCUCCCUGCCGCCGCCGCCGCCGCUGCCGCCGCUACUGCUGCGGGGGCCGCGGGGGGCGCAGCUGGGGCGCGGCUCGGAGGGGAGGCUAGGGGGCCGUGCCAGGCCCGAAGCCGAGGCGGGGCCGGGAUGCGGCGCUGAGGCCCAGCAUGGCCGGCCCGGGCCCCACCUUCCCGCUGCACCGGCUCGUCUGGGCGAACCGGCAUCGCGAACUGGAGGCCGCACUGCACAGCCACCAGCACGACAUUGAACAGGAGGACCCCCGCGGGCGGACCCCACUGGAGCUGGCCGUGUCUCUGGGAAACCUGGAGUCUGUGAGAGUGCUCCUUCGACACAAUGCCAACGUGGGCAAAGAGAACCGCCAGGGCUGGGCAGUCCUGCAGGAGGCAGUCAGCACUGGAGACCCCGAGAUGGUGCAGCUGGUGCUCCAGUAUCGGGACUACCAGAGGGCCACUCAGAGGCUGGCGGGCAUUCCGGAACUGCUCAACAAACUUCGCCAGCCCAGGGUCACGUAGGAAAGAGAGACGGCCAGGCUCACGUGGGAGAGACUGGGCCCUUUGGAAGAGAAGCCUUGCCAGCUUUGGGCCUCCUGAAGAAUGCCGAUUACCUGGAGCGGGGACUUCAGGUUGACUCCGUGGAUUAUGGCCUGAGCCCCUGGAAUACUUGCUACUAUGCGCCCUUCUGGAAGCACGCGGAGGGGCCUGGCUGGCAGAGCAUACUACCUCAUACCCCCUACCCCAGGGGCAGGCUCGGAGGGAGCCACUGUGCCCCCUUUACAGAGUAGGACUCUCAGACCCAGUGGAAGCAAAGGCUCCCCCAGGGCUUUGCACAGGCUCAUGGCCAGGUUGAGGCUGGCCCUCCACCUGCAGGUGCUUACAGCCUCAUUGCCCGAAGACCAUUGUAGUGCUCCACUUGGCCCACCCUCUCCAGGGCAGAGUGGUUGGGCGUAGCUGAGCCAUAGCAGUGCGUCAAGACUUGAUGAAGGGCCAGGCGUUGUGGCUUACUCCUGUAAUCCCAGUGCUUUGGGAGGCCAAAGUGGGUGGAUCACUUGAGCCCAGGAGUUCGAGACCAGCCUGGGCAACAUGACGAAACCCGUCUCUACAAAAAGUACAAAAAUUAGCUGGGAGUGGUGGCACACACCUGUGGUCCCAGCUACUCGGGAGGCUGAGGUGGAAGAAUCACCUGAGCCCAGGGAGGCAGAGGUUGCUGUGAGCCGAGAUUGCACCACUACACUCCAGCCUGGGUGACAGAGCAAGUCUCAAAAAAAAAAAAAAAGACCUGAUGAAGGGCUGGGCUGGCUGUGGACAAGGGGCUCCCAGGCCUGCUGGAGCCAGCAGCAGGCAGGGCCCUGACAAGCAGCUCUGAUUUCUCUUAGGCCCCCGAUUUCUAUGUGGAGAUGAAGUGGGAGUUCACCAGCUGGGUGCCCCUUGUGUCUAAGAUGUGCCCGAGCGAUGUGUACCGCGUGUGGAA
rnacentral:sRNA from 1 species